rnacentral:rRNA from 1 species
AUGUUGGAUGGUGUGGAAUGCUCAGAUACUGACAGUGGAAGCAGUGUCUCCAGUGCUAAUAACCAGGGGCUCUGUCAGGAUAUGCAAGAUGAUCCUGACAGCUUUGCAGGAGGAAUGGGGCUUAGUACACAGGUGAUUGCAGAGGUAAACAGAAGACUUGAUGAGGAGCAGGAGGCUAUAGGAUCACAACUGGUUGGAGGUGAUUUUGGGGAGGAAAAUUCAAAUAGAGACCAGAACUUACAAGCAAAAAAAGUGGAGCUUGGAGGUGUGUUGAGAGAUUUCAGCCAGGAAAAGGAUAAUAUAGUGGAUGAGAAUUGGAGGAGGGCUAGCAGGAAUGUGACAGAUCAGCAUGUAAUGGAGAAAGCAAUGGACAGGGCUAAAGUGAAGAAUUUGGAGUUUUCCAAUUGGUGA